AUACGUAGGGUGCAAGCGUUAAUCGGAAUUACUGGGCGUAAAGCGUGCGCAGGCGGUUUUGUAAGACAGUGGUGAAAUCCCCGGGCUCAACCUGGGAACUGCCAUUGUGACUGCAAGGCUGGAGUGCGGCAGAGGGGGAUUGAAUUCCGCGUGUAGCCGUGAAAUGCGUAGGUAUGCGGGGGAACACCGAUGGCGAAGGCAAUCCCCUGGGACAGCACUAACUCUAAUUCACGAAAGCGUGGGGAACAAACAGGGUUUGAAACCCUGGUAGUCGAUGCCCUAAACGAUGUCAACUGGUUGUUGGGUCUUCAUUGACUCAGUAACGAAGCUAACGCGUGAAGUUGACCGCCUGGGGAGUACGGCCGCAAGGUGGAGACUCAAAGGAAUUGACGGGG
rnacentral:rRNA from 1 species